AAAGAAAUUAAAAAUUUAUUUCAUAGUUCUUUCACCUGUACAUAUGCUGCAAUCAUAUUUUUUGUGCAUAUAUAUUUAAUACAACAUCAUGCUUAAAGGAGAAAAUAAAUUCUCCACAAUAUCAGAGCAACAUAGUCAUGCAUUUGGACAUAGUCCACACAGAAGAAUUAUUUCAUUAUAACAGCAAUACAAUUCAAUACAGAGCUUAGAGUGAAAUAUUUCACUUGCUGUUAAUCAGACUUAAUAUUUGUCUAAAUAUGAACAAUUUCUACACGACAGCUUAAUAGAAGCUGUAAAUGAUGUUUAAGUGCUCAAUAGAACUCUUUGUAAUUUAUGUCAUUGCAAGAAUUUUAUUCAACUUGGUCUAUAAUGACACAAGUUAUAGCAGAGAGUAAUAGACACAGAGCACGUGUAGUGUUAUAUGCUUAACUGCUCUUAAAAACCCUACUGGGGGUGUUUCACAAAGAUUUAAGUAUGACUUAAGUCGCCCUUAAAUGCCGACGCGUACAUGAUAUGACGCGCAAUCUGAUUGAUGGAUACGCGGUAGUGCACGUCUCUUGCCCGUGAUCUGACCAAUGUGAUGAUGUCUUCUAUACUGUACGCUACUGGGAAUUUAAAAAGAAAUUCCAGUAGUUGCAGUAAACACUGAUUUCAUG